rnacentral:rRNA from 1 species
AGAGUUUCGAGUCCUGGCUCAGGAUGAACGCUGGCGGCGUGCCUAACACAUGCAAGUCGAACGAAGCACGUCCCUCGAGGCCUUCGGGCGGAGAGGGGCAUGACUUAGUGGCGGACGGGUGAGUAACGCGUGGGUAACCUGCCCUAUACUGGGGGAUACAGCUAGAAAUGGCUGCUAAUACCGCAUGAGCGCACAGUCCCGCAUGGGACAGUGUGGAAAACUCCGGUGGUAUAGGAUGGACCCGCGUCCGAUCAGCUGGUUGGUGGGGUAACGGCCCACCAAGGCGACGAUCGGUAGCCGACCUGAGAGGGUGACCGGCCACAUUGGGACUGAGACACGGCCCAAACCCCUACGGGAGGCAGCAGUGGGGGAUAUUGCACAAUGGGGGGAACCCUGAUGCAGCGACGCCGCGUGAGUGAAGGAGUACUCCGGUAUGUAAAGCUCUAUCAGCAGGGAAGAAGCAAGACGGUACCUGACCAAGAAGCCCCGGCUAACUACGUG